rnacentral:rRNA from 1 species
AACAACACACAUUGGUAUUUAGCUGUUGUGAAUACAAAAAAACGUGAGGUUCAAGUACUGGACUCAUUGUGCUGGGACUUUGACCGUGAUGAUCUCGCUCAUACGCUACGAGGAGUACAAUUUCAUUUGGACCUUCUUAAAAGUCAAAACUUGGUAAAAGACAAUUGGAAAGACGUUGAUCUCACUGAAUGGAAGAUCACAGAACAAUUACAAAAGGCAAUUCAAACAGACAGUUCUUCAUGUGGUUUGUUUAUGAUCAAAUUUAUGGAAUAUUUCACCGGAUGUGCACUAUCUUACCCAAUUACACAGGAAAUGAUUACUUCAUUUAGGUUUAAGUUAGCCAGCAUACUAUUAUGUUGGAAAAUUGGACAUAAAAAUGAUGCAUAA